CUCAGGAUGAACGCUAGCUACAGGCUUAACACAUGCAAGUCGAGGGGCAGCAUGGUCUUAGCUUGCUAAGGCCGAUGGCGACCGGCGCACGGGUGAGUAACACGUAUCCAACCUGCCGUCUACUCUUGGACAGCCUUCUGAAAGGAAGAUUAAUACAAGAUGGCAUCAUGAGUCCGCAUGUUCACAUGAUUAAAGGUAUUCCGGUAGACGAUGGGGAUGCGUUCCAUUAGAUAGUAGGCGGGGUAACGGCCCACCUAGUCUUCGAUGGAUAGGGGUUCUGAGAGGAAGGUCCCCCACAUUGGAACUGAGACACGGUCCAAACUCCUACGGGAGGCAGCAGUGAGGAAUAUUGGUCAAUGGGCGAGAGCCUGAACCAGCCAAGUAGCGUGAAGGAUGACUGCCCUAUGGGUUGUAAACUUCUUUUAUAAAGGAAUAAAGUCGGGUAUGGAUACCCGUUUGCAUGUACUUUAUGAAUAAGGAUCGGCUAACUCCGUGCCAGCAGCCGCGGUAAUACGGAGGAUCCGAGCGUUAUCCGGAUUUAUUGGGUUUAAAGGGAGCGUAGAUGGAUGUUUAAGUCAGUUGUGAAAGUUUGCGGCUCAACCGUAAAAUUGCAGUUGAUACUGGAUAUCUUGAGUGCAGUUGAGGCAGGCGGAAUUCGUGGUGUAGCGGUGAAAUGCUUAGAUAUCACGAAGAACUCCGAUUGCGAAGGCAGCCUGCUAAGCUGCAACUGACAUUGAGGCUCGAAAGUGUGGGUAUCAAACAGGAUUAGAUACCCUGGUAGUCCACACGGUAAACGAUGAAUACUCGCUGUUUGCGAUAUACGGCAAGCGGCCAAGCGAAAGCGUUAAGUAUUCCACCUGGGGAGUACGCCGGCAACGGUGAAACUCAAAGGAAUUGACGGGGGCCCGCACAAGCGGAGGAACAUGUGGUUUAAUUCGAUGAUACGCGAGGAACCUUACCCGGGCUUAAAUUGCAGAUGAAUUACGGUGAAAGCCGUAAGCCGCAAGGCAUCUGUGAAGGUGCUGCAUGGUUGUCGUCAGCUCGUGCCGUGAGGUGUCGGCUUAAGUGCCAUAACGAGCGCAACCCUUGUUGUCAGUUACUAACAGGUUCCGCUGAGGACUCUGACAAGACUGCCAUCGUAAGAUGUGAGGAAGGUGGGGAUGACGUCAAAUCAGCACGGCCCUUACGUCCGGGGCUACACACGUGUUACAAUGGGGGGUACAGAGGGCCGCUACCACGCGAGUGGAUGCCAAUCCCCAAAACCUCUCUCAGUUCGGACUGGAGUCUGCAACCCGACUCCACGAGGCUGGAUUCGCUAGUAAUCGCGCAUCAGCCACGGCGCGAUGAAUACGUUCCCGGGCCUUGUACACACCGCCCGUCAAGCCAUGGGAGCCGGGGGUACCUGAAGUGCGUAACCGCGAGGAGCGCCCUAGGGUAAAACUGGU
rnacentral:rRNA from 1 species